GCCAGCAGCCGCGGGAACACCGGCGGCCCGAGUGGUGAUCGUGAUUAUUGGGUCUAAAGGGUCCGUAGCCGGUUUGGUCAGUCCUCCGGGAAAUCUGAUAGCUCAACUAUUAGGCUUUCGGGGGAUACUGCCAGACUUGGAACCGGGAGAGGUAAGAGGUACUACAGGGGUAGGAGUGAAAUCUUGUAAUCCCUGUGGGACCACCUGUGGCGAAGGCGUCUUACCAGAACGGGUUCGACGGUGAGGGACGAAAGCUGGGGGCACGAACCGGAUUAGAUACCCGGGUAGUCCCAGCCGUAAACGAUGCUCGCUAGGUGUCAGGCAUGGCGCGACCGUGUCUGGUGCCGCAGGGAAGCCGUGAAGCGAGCCACCUGGGAAGUACGGCCGCAAGGCUGAAACUUAAAGGAAUUGGCGGGGGAGCACAACAACGGGUGGAAGCCUGCGGUUUAAUUGGACUCAACGCCGGACAACUCACCGGGGGCGACAGCAAUAUGUAGGCCAAGCUGAAGACUUUGCCUGAAUCGCUGAGGGGUGGUGCAUGG
rnacentral:rRNA from 1 species